GGGUCCGGAAAAGAAAGAGAAAGGACCCAGUGCGGUCGCUUACAGAACCCAGGGCGGGGUUGGGCUGGGCGCCCGCGCGCGUUUUCAAGCCUGCGGCCCGGAGUUCACUGCGAGGACUGAGAUCACCCGUUACCCCGCCCUGGUCUACAAGUGUUUGCUGAUAUAGAAACGGAAUAACGGCGCUGUGGGCUGGGGAGGACGGAGUUGCCUUCAGGCUUCUGGUCUCCAGCCGCGGGGCACUCACAGCUGCCGCUAUGAAAAUGCAGACCUGUGGGGCAGGAAUUCCGAGUCCGGGGUGGAGCGCGAUGUGGAAUCUGACUCGCUUGAAACAGCACCGCGGUGGAUUCGGAUCCGGAAAAGAAACAAAUUCCUUUCCACCCAAAAUAUGACAGCGCCUGUGGUCCAGGGCUCGAGCCUAUAGUGGAUGCCCAGCAGCCAACUUCCUGGAAUUGAGACCUCCCCAGCAGGCUUGGGGGUGAAAAGAGAAACUAGACUCCAAAAGGGACCCAGUGCUCUGUUGGGGAGAGAGGAGCACACCACUGCAUCCCACCCUGAAGAAUGGGAGUGAGAAGAGAGGACAGGUGAACCCACCAUGGCUCCAGUGAGAUGGGAGCGGGGAACGCCCAAGAAGGAGGACAGCCAUGGGGUGGCCCGAGCCAAAGCCACCAGACAUCAUUACAUGUCUGGGGCCCUCUCAGGCCGACAUGAGUUUUACUGCUCCACACACUCUUUUGUUAAGAGCUAGCUGUCAGUAGAUCAGUGAGAGAGCAACUUUGAUACAGAGGAAACCAUGCCUGAAUGGGUCAGCCCAGAAGAAUUUAGUAGUAGGUUCUAUGCUUCCCUCCAGGGCCUCAUGGGCGUGGGCAACUUUUUUUUUUUUCCAGCCACUCACCCUAGGUAAUGAAGAAAGCUCUCUGAACUGUGUCCUUGCUGGGCACACAGGCCCCUACCACAUGUACAUGGCGUGGGAGUCAUGGCUAAGGCAGGGUGAGACUCCUAUUUGAGGCCAGGAAAAGCUAAUGACCCUACAUUUGGUUCAGUCCUUGUGGGGUCCUGACUAGGGUGUGGGCCACUGUGUUCCCACAGAUGCUCUGUUAGCCCUUAGGCUGUGAGAUACACAGGCAAAUGUUAUAUUGAAGCCUUUGUUUCUCUUACACUGAGGUAACACUACUGCAGCAGAGCAAACCUUAUUGUAUCAGUGCACCAACCCCAAGUUCAUGUUCAUUACAGCAGGAAAAACUAACAUGUGGUGAAUUCUGCCUCCACAAGGGACAAGGACCUGAUAAGACUACAAUGACCAGGAUGGCCAAUAUCCCUGUCUUCUUGCAACUCAAGCUUUGCCUGGUUACCCCCUACUUGCCCCAACUCCUUGGACUCCAGCCCUCCGAGGACAGCCAGACAUCUGAAGGAAGUGCCAGGCACAGAUGCCAGGUUGCAUAAGUGCUGACCCCUGAGCAACUGGAGAAGCUGUUAGGUCCCAGCUGGCCUAGAGAUCCCUGGCUCAGGGAGUAUAACUGGAUGCCUUGAACAAAGAUAUGGGGUCACUGGAAAGAGAGGACCGGCUGUCCCUCCCCACUAAGAAAUAAUUAACUGUUAGAUGAGGGGGAAUUCCUUUUCAAGGGCUCUGUGGACUGUGCUGCUCUGGAGGGGGUGGGGAGAGGGAGGAGCCCUGAGGUCUGGGCUGGGGUGUGGUUGGGAAGGAGCUGAGAGCUGAGAGCUGUAACUACCCAAGGAGCUGCAGGGGUGAGGUUGGUGCAGGGUGGGAUUUAGAGGAUUUCCCCCAGACUCCUGUGCUGAUCCCCUUCAUCUCCUCCACCCCCACCCUUGGUGUCCGUCAACAUGCGGGGGUGCCCUCAUCUUCCCACUGCCCCUGGAGC
rnacentral:lncRNA from 1 species